CCCGUGAUAGCUCAGUUGGUAGAGCGGAGGACUGUAGCGGUAAAUUAACGUUGAUAUCCUUAGGUCGGUGGUUCAAAUCCGCCUCGCGGGA
rnacentral:tRNA from 1 species